rnacentral:rRNA from 1 species
UACGGAGGGGGCUAGCGUUGUUCGGAAUUACUGGGCGUAAAGCGCACGUAGGCGGCUUUGUAAGUUAGAGGUGAAAGCCCGGGGCUCAACUCCGGAAUUGCCUUUAAGACUGCAUCGCUAGAAUUGUGGAGAGGUAAGUGGAAUUCCGAGUGUAGAGGUGAAAUGCGUAGAUAUCUGGAGGAACACCGGUGGCGAAGGCGACUUACUGGACACAUAUUGACGCUGAGGUGCGAAAGCCAGGGGAGCAAACGGG